CCUACGGGAGGCUGCAGUGAGGAAUAUUGGUCAAUGGGCUCGGGCCUGAACCAGCCAAGUAGCGUGAAGGAUGACUGCCCUACGGAUUGUAAACUUCUUUUAUAAAGGAAUAAAGUGAGGCACUUUUGCCUUUGUGUAUGUAUUUGAUGAAAAAGCAUCGGCUAACUCCGUGCCAGCAGCCGCGGUAAUACGGAGGAUCCGAGCGUUAUCCGGAUUUAUUGGGUUUAAAGGGAGCGUAGAUGGGUUGUUAAGUCAGUGGUGAAAGUUUGGGGCUCAACCGUAAAAUUGCAAUUGAUACUGGCAGUCUUGAGUACAGUUGAGGUACGCGGAAUUCGCGGUGUAGCGGUGAAAUGCAUAGAUAUCACGAAGAACUCCGAUUGCGAAGGCAGCUUACUAAACUGCCACUGACAUUGAUGCUCGAAAGUGUGGGUAUCAAACAGGAUUAGAUACCCGAGUAGUC
rnacentral:rRNA from 1 species